rnacentral:rRNA from 1 species
GACGAACGCUGGCGGCGUGCUUAACACAUGCAAGUCGAACGGUAAGGCUCCAGCUUGCUGGGGUACACGAGUGGCGAACGGGUGAGUAACACGUGGGUGACCUGCCCUGCACUUCGGGAUAAGCCUUGGAAACUGGGUCUAAUACCGGAUAGGACCAUGGUGUGGAUACUGUGGUGGAAAGUUUUUUCGGUGUGGGAUGGGCCCGCGGCCUAUCAGCUUGUUGGUGGGGUAAUGGCCUACCAAGGCGGCGACGGGUAGCCGGCCUGAGAGGGUGGACGGCCACAUUGGGACUGAGACACGGCCCAGACUCCUACGGGAGGCAGCAGUGGGGAAUAUUGCACAAUGGGCGGAAGCCUGAUGCAGCGACGCCGCGUGGGGGAUGACGGCCUUCGGGUUGUAAACUACUUUCACCAUAGACGAAGGGUUUCUGACGGUAGAUGGAGAAGAAGCACCGGCUAACUACGUG